AACACAAAACAGGCCCAAAAUAUGGAUAACAAAUAAAAUGAAGAGAAAGCCUAGCGCCCGAGCCUUUGUUCUUUAUACCUGAUACGGUGAUACUGUGAUACCCAAAAUUCAAAACCUGCAGAUGCCGAAUCAAUCAAAACGCAUCUGCAACGGCAGCAACGCAGCACGGCAAUUAUAAAAAAAGAAAAAAGAAAAAAGAAAAAAGGCAGUCGGUACGGCAGUUCAGGGAAUCAGAGUUUUCAGAUCAGAAUCAUCAGAUGUGAUCGGAUGAUUUAGAUCGGAGGAAGCUUCAAGCAUGAGCAGUUGAUUCACUGAGCCAGGCAGCCAGCAACAGUGGAGAGAAUCAGAGAAAGAGUGAGAGAGGCGGAGAGCAGAGAGAAAGAAGCAGAGGGAAAGACGGUUCAGUACUGAGGAGCAAGUGUGGUCUUUGAAGACUGAGCUGACAUAGGCAAUAGAGAGAGAUGUCAAGGGAGUUGGUGAAAUGAAGUGGAAUCUUUCUACAAUCUAGAGUCUCUAAUUUAAUCAAAGCAAAGAGCCAAAACUACGGUUCAGUACUCAGGAGCAAGUGUGGUCUCUGAAGACUGAGCUGACAUAUGCAGUAUAGAGAGAUGUCCAGGGAGAUGGUUGUAGGUCUUUGAUUGAUGGCGCACUUUCUUUAUUUCUUUAUUUCUGUUUUUUUUUUUUUUUUUUUUUUUUUUUAUUUAAAUUUUAAUGAAUUUUAGAUGGCUUUAACAUAGGCAAUAGAUUAAACUGAGCGUCUAAAAAUUACCGCUAGAAUUAUUGGCUUUACAUAGGCAAUUAACAAAUAUUGGGCUCUUUCUGAAAGGCAUCUUGACAAACUAAUAAAAUGUCUUGAUGACAAGAGGCCAAGCAAUGGGUCUUCUAAA